GAUGAACGCUGGCGGCGUGCCUAAUACAUGCAAGUCGAGCGAACGGACGAGAAGCUUGCUCCCCUGAUGUUAGCGGCGGACGGGUGAGUAACACGUGGAUAACCUACCUAUAAGACUUGGAUAAUUUCGGGAAACCGGAGCUACUACCGGAUAAUAUUUUGAACCGCAUGGUUCAAAAGUGAAAGACGCUCUUGCUGUUACUUAUAGCUGGAUCCGCGCUGCAUUAGCUAGUUGGUAAGGUAACGGCUUACCAAGGCAACGAUGCGUAGCCGACCUGAGAGGGUGAUCGGCCACACUGGAACUGAGACACGGUACAGACUCCUACGGGAGGCAGCAGUAGGGAAUCUUCCGCAAUGGGCGAAAGCCUGACGGAGCAAAGCCGCGUGAGUGAUGAAGGUCUUCGGAUCGUAAAGCUCUGUUAUUAGGAAAGAACAUAUGUGUAAGUAACUGUGCACAUCUUGACGGUACCUAAACAAAAAGCCACGGCUAACUACGUG
rnacentral:rRNA from 1 species